rnacentral:rRNA from 1 species
UACGUAGGGGGCAAGCGUUGUCCGGAUUUAUUGGGCGUAAAGAGCGUGUAGGCGGCCAGACAGGUCCACUGUGAAAACUCCGAGGCUCAACCUCGAGAGGUCGGUGGAAACCGUCUGGCUAGAGUCCGGAAGAGGAGAGUGGAAUUCCCGGUGUAGCGGUGAAAUGCGCAGAUAUCAGGAAGAACACCUAUGGCGAAGGCAGCUCUCUGGGACGGUACUGACGCUGAGACGCGAAAGCGUGGGGAGCGAACAGG